rnacentral:rRNA from 1 species
CCUACGGGAGGCAGCAGUGGGGAAUAUUGGGCAAUGGAGGAAACUCUGACCCAGCGAUGCCGCGUGAAUGAAGAAGGUCUUCGGAUUGUAAAGUUCUUUAGUCAGGGAAGAAUAAACUUACGAUACCUGAAGAAUAAGCUCCGGCUAACUGCGUGCCAGCAGCCGCGGGAAUACGUAGGGAGCAAGCGUUGUUCGGAGUGACUGGGCGGUAAGGGUGCGUAGGCGGUUAUACAAGUUCGAAGGGAAAUACCCAGGGCUUAACUUGGGUGCUGCUUCUAAAACUUUAAGACUUGAGUGCAUGAGAGGUUAGUGGAAUUCCUAGUGUAGCGGUGGAAUGCGUAGAUAUUAGGAGGAACACCAGAGGCGAAGGCGGCUAACUGGACUGCAACUGACGCUGAGGUACGAAAGUGUGGGGAGCAAACAGGAUUAGAUACCCGUGUAGUC